CGCGUAACCCGGCGGGAAGCUCUCCGCCAUCACCUCACGGUGUUCGCGCGCCUCCGUCCCCACACCGGCUCCCGCGGGAGCACGGGUGGAAGCCAAGCUCGAGUUCCAAGCCCCCUCCCCGUUCUGUGAUUCUGUGAUUCUCCCCGUGCAUGGAAACGGCUUUUAACGCCGCUUACGUUUCCCUUCGUCCGCCUCAGCCCCACCUGCGGCAGGACGAAGCUGAGGGGCCGGCGGGAGAGGAGUUCUGUGAGGGAGGACGGCAGUUGGGAGCGCAGCCCGGCCCUGCUGCCUUGGGAAGCCGCACCGCGUCAGGCCUACAAGGUGCUUAAACGGAGAGGCAAUCAGUAUGCACAUGGAAGUUAAAUUACUGAUCUGGGACAAUAAUCAAGGAAUCAGCUGAGUCGAGGAGAACAUGAACAUGUAGCUGGGAGGAACCAGAAACUGAAGAGCACAACUUGCACACCACUUAGCCAGCAUUCCUGCCUGGAUGCUGCUGCUGCUACAAAAAUAUCUGCCCCAGCCCAAAAGCAAUCCGGCUCUCCAGAAAGCCAGCCUGAGCCUUACAGCCUGUGCCAGAGAGUUGGUGAAUGUUUGCAGAGCAUGAUGAAAGCCAGAGCGGGCUAAAUGCUACUUAUUAUCGGAUUCUGUGGGUGGGACACAUGCUGGUUUUCUGUUGCUUUUUCUCUCUCUCUUUGUAAAUGCUCAUCAAAAGAGCCAAGGCAUUAGUCAUAUACUGCAAGAAACUCGGAGAAACAACAAAAACAGAACAAGCAGCUCCCUGGGUCAGAUUAAAGCCAGAACCUGCUUGUUUCUUUGGGCUCAUAUCACAGCGGCCUCACAGGGAAGCUGCUCAGACACUGAGCCCAGGUCAGCAGCACUCAGCAGCUCUGCAGCUGCUGUCCUCACUCCCAGGCUGUUCAAAAGUCAGAGCAAGCCAACGUCCCGCUGCAGACUAGCAAGUUACUAACUUGCUUUUAAUUGUGCCCACUUGCUCCUGCUUCCCAAGACAUUUCUGGAAGCGUGUUUAGCACAUAAGUUUUGCCCCAUAACUGGAGCAGGGCUCUCCCCAGCAUUCCUGUAAGAGGGAAUUUGGCUGUGUCUGAGCAGGAGCACUAUGAAACAGGCUGCUGCUGCACGUCUGGGUCACACACACAACCACACUGGUUUGGCCAAGCGAUACCCCUUCUUGCUCCAGAAAUCUCCCUCGUGAUGGAACUGUCUGCCAAGGACCACGUCCAGAUCCUGGACUCUUUCCUGUACAGAGGGAAAAGCGUCUGCCACAAAACAGCAGGGCUCUUACAGUGAGACUUCUGCAAAGGCAAGAGAGUGCUGCCUGGCACAGCUGAGGCACAGGCCAGUUCAAAGACACCACACACUACCACUGCGACGUGCCAACAUGCAAAGCUUCUCCAGGACACUGGGAAUCCUGCCCUGAACAACUAGACACCUGCUUGCCCCAGCUGCUAGAGAAAACAAGUCUUCAUUGCUAA